UACGUAGGGGUGCGAGCGUUGUCCGGAAUUACUGGCGUAAAGAGCUCGUAGGUGGUUUGUCGCGUUGUUCGUGAAAACCGGGGGCUUAACCCUCGGCGUGCGGGCGAUACGGGCAGACUUGAGUACUGCAGGGGAGACUGGAAUUCCUGGUGUAGCGGUGGAAUGCGCAGAUAUCAGGAGGAACACCGGUGGCGAAGGCGGGUCUCUGGGCCGAUACUGACGCUGAGGAGCGAAAGCGUGGGGAGCGAACAGG
rnacentral:rRNA from 1 species